GAUGAACGCUGGCGGCGUGCCUAACACAUGCAAGUCGAGCGAAGCGAUUUUGAUGAAGUUUACGGAUGGAAUUGAAAUUGACUUAGCGGCGGACGGGUGAGUAACACGUGGGUAAUCUGCCUUAUACAGGGGGAUAACAGUUAGAAAUGACUGCUAAUACCGCAUAAGCGCACGGGGACGCAUGUUUCUGUGUGAAAAACUGAGGUAGUAUAAGAUGAGCCCGCGUCUGAUUAGCUAGUUGGUGGGGUAAAGGCCUACCAAGGCGACGAUCAGUAGCCGGCCUGAGAGGGUGAACGGCCACAUUGGGACUGAGACACGGCCCAA
rnacentral:rRNA from 1 species